AUUGAACGCUGGCGGCAGGCCUAACACAUGCAAGUCGAACGAGUGGCGGACGGGUGAGUAAUGUCUGGGAAACUGCCCGAUGGAGGGGGAUAACUACUGGAAACGGUCGCUAAUACCGCAUACCAUCGGAUGUGCCCAGAUGGGAUUAGCUAGUAGGUGGGGUAACGGCGCACCUAGGCGACGAGCCCUAGCUGGUCGGAGAGGAUGACCAGCCACCUUGGAACUGAGACACGGUCCAGACUCCUACGGUAGGCAGAAGUGGGGAAUAUUGCACAAUGGGCGCAAGCCUGAUGCAGCCAUGCCGCGUGUAGGAAGAAGGCCUUCGGGUUGUAAAGUACUUUCAGCGGGGAGGCGUUACCCGCAGAAGAAGCACCGGCUAACUCCGUGCCAGCCGCCGCGGUAAUAC
rnacentral:rRNA from 1 species